rnacentral:rRNA from 1 species
ACUCCUACGGGAGGCAGCAGUGGGGAAUAUUGCACAAUGGGCGCAAGCCUGAUGCAGCCAUGCCGCGUGUGUGAAGAAGGCCUUCGGGUUGUAAGCACUUUUCAGUUGUGAGGAAGGUGGUGUCGUUAAUAGCGGCAUCAUUUUGACGUUUAGCAACAGAAGAAGCACCGGCUAACUCCGUGCCAGCAGCCGCGGUAAUACGGAGGGUGCGAGCGUUAAUCGGAAUUACUGGGCGUAAAGCGCAUGCAGGCGGCCUGUUAAGUCAGAUGUGAAAGCCCGGGGCUUAACCUCGGAAUUGCAUUUGAAACUGGCAGGCUAGAGUCUUGUAGAGGGGGUAGAAUUUCAGGUGUAG